AGAGUUUGAUCCUGGCUCAGGAUGAACGCUGGCGGCGUGCCUAACACAUGCAAGUCGAGCGAUUUACUUCGGUAAAGAGCGGCGGACGGGUGAGUAACGCGUGGGUAACCUGCCUCAUACACAUGGAUAACAUACCGAAAGGUAUGCUAAUACAAGAUGAUAUAAGAGAUUCGCAUGGAUUUCUUAUCAAAGCUCCGGCGGUAUGAGAUGGACCCGCGUCUGAUUAGCUAGUUGGUAAAGUAACGGCUUACCAAGGCGACGAUCAGUAGCCGACCUGAGAGGGUGAUCGGCCACAUUGGAACUGAGACACGGUCCAAACUCCUACGGGAGGCAGCAGUGGGGAAUAUUGCACAAUGGGCGAAAGCCUGAUGCAGCAACGCCGCGUGAGCGAUGAAGGCCUUCGGGUCGUAAAGCUCUGUCCUCAAGGAAGAUAAUGACGGUACUUGAGGAGGAAGCCCCGGCUAACUACGUGCCAGCAGCCGCGGUAAUACGUAGGGGGCUAGCGUUAUCCGGAUUUACUGGGCGUAAAGGGUGCGUAGGUGGUUUCUUAAGUCAGGAGUGAAAGGCUACGGCUUAACCGUAGUAAGCUCUUGAAACUGGGAAACUUGAGUGCAGGAGAGGAAAGUGGAAUUCCUAGUGUAGCGGUGAAAUGCGUAGAUAUUAGGAGGAACACCAGUAGCGAAGGCGGCUUUCUGGACUGUAACUGACACUGAGGCACGAAAGCGUGGGGGAGCAAACAGGAUUAGAUACCCUGGUAGUCCACGCCGUAAACGAUGAGUACUAGGUGUCGGGGGUUACCCCCCUCGGUGCCGCAGCUAACGCAUUAAGUACUCCGCCUGGGGAGUACGCUCGCAAGAGUGAAACUCAAAGGAAUUGACGGG
rnacentral:rRNA from 1 species